UUUUUUUUUUUUUUUGCUUUGCACAGAAUCUCAGGAGGUGAUAACAGGAGGGGUGGUGAGGCCGACUGGUCGCCCUGAUUCCCUGAUUUAGUAAUACUUGGUCUAAACACAAGUACAUGGUCCCUUCACCACCACCCCACACCCAGGCUUUCUUUUCCUUUUCUUUCUUUCCACUUAGGCAAUUCCUAUAGUCACAGAUGAAAGGGCUAGAUGGAGCAGAGCCACACUCCCAUAUGUGAUAGGCCUCUGGACCAUCUGAGUGUCUCAGCUGUGGGCAUCCCCAGAGCUGUCUUAGGCCAAUGACAGAGGAGGUGCUCGGGACAUGUUUGUUCAGUGAAGGGCCAGAGGAAGUUCCUCAAAGAGUUAAAAAUAGACCUGCCCUAGGACCAAGCAAUUGCACUGCUGGGGAUUUACCCCAAAGAUACAGAUGUAGUGAAACGGCAGGACACUUGCACCCCGAUGUUUCUAGCAGCAAUGUCCACAAUAGCCAAACUGUGGAAGGAGCCUCAGUGUUCAUCGAAAGAUGAAUGGAUAAAGAAGAUGUGGUUUAUGUAUACAAUGGAAUAUUCCUCAGCCAUUAGAAAUGACAAAUACCCACCAUUUGCUUCAAUGUGGAUGGAACUGGAGGGUAUUAUGCUGAGUGAAAUAAGUCAAUUGGAGAAGCACAAACAUUAUAUGGUCUCAUUCAUUUGGAGAAUAUAAAAAAUAGUGAAAGGGAAUAAAGGGGAAAGGAGAGAAAAUGAGUGGGAAAUAUCAGAGAGGGAGACAGAACAUGAGAGACUCCUAACUCUGGGAAACGAACAAGGGGCGGUAGAAAGGGAGGUUGGUGGGGGGUGGGGGUGACUGGGUGACAGGCACUGAGGGGGGCACUUGAUGGGAUGAGCACUGGGUGUUAUUCUAUAUGUUGGCAAAUUGAACACCAAUAAAAAAUAAAUUAAAAAAAAGGGGGGGGGCCAGAGGGCUGAAAACACAUAGAAGCUUCUCAAGAACCUAAGCCCUGGGCACCAGGGGGCGUGGGGAGGGGACUACAGGAUGGCAGGUGAAGGGUGUGCUGGAGUCCUGAGGAUGAGCCACCUUCCCCUUAGCAGGGCAGACUUUUUCACCUCUCAUCUGUGUGGCAGUCCAUGUGGAAAUGUUAGAGGAGAGAAAGAGCCACUUAAUUAUGAGCUGCUUCCUACGCAAUCAGGUUCAGAAUAAAAACAGAGCUUCUCACGCUGGGGACCUGGAGAAGGCAGCAUCCAAUUCAUGAAAUCUGACAUCUAGCAAGAUAAGGGAGGGUGGCACCUCUGUGCGCCCCCCCCACAAGGUACCCAGAGAUAACUAUGGUCACAGGAAGUGUCAGGCUCUGGGAGGGCUCGCCACUGUUUACCAUAUGGGGAUGGAUCCUGGUGUCCCAGGCAUGCUUCGGGUCUGUGACACUGGCCUGGCCCACGAUUUUGAGAAACACAUAGUCAAAACAUGAGGGUAAAAUAUCUCUGGGGUGUGAGUGGCAGAAAGAGACUAACGAAUCUGUACUAACUGCAUUUCUCACUUUAACGUGUAGCAUUUCCCUCUUUGCCUCUACUUUGUCUCAGCUCUGGAAGAUAAGCCAUCAUCAUCACCCCUAAGGGAGAUGGAGAAUUCGAGCAUCUAUAAGACCUGCUUGUGUGCAGCUGCUGAGAGCUCUCUGGAGUCCAGGAAAACAUGGUAGAGCUACAGACACUGAGCUCUGUGCAGCUGCAGAAACAGCUGACCCUCCUCUGAUGAUGGAGAAACUGAGGCCCUGGUCACAUGACAGGCUGAUUCUUGUACUAGCCACACUCUAGAUUCUUGUCAUUUUGGAGAUCCAGCCAACCAACAAUGAUACAGGCAUACCUUGCUUAAUUGCACUUCACUUUGUUAUACUUUCCUGAUAUUGCAUUUUGUUUUUUAACAGAUUGAUGGUUUGUGGCCACCCUGAAUCAAGAAAAUCUACUGGUGCCAUUUUUGCAACAGCAUUUACUCAUCUCGUGCCUCUGUGUCGCAUUUUGGUAAUUCUCAAUAUUUCAAACCUUUUCUUUAUUAUUAUAUUAUUAUAUAAUAUGUUAUAUUACAUAUAAUUACAUUAUCAUAUCUGUUACGGUGAACUGUGAUCAGUGAUAACAACCCGCUGAAAGCUCAGAUGAUGGUUAGCAUUUUUUAGCAAUAAAAUAUUUUUAAAUUAAGGCAUGUACAUUGUUUCUUAGACAAAAUGCUACUGCACAGUUAAUAGACUACAGUACAGUGCGAACAUAACUUUUAUAUGCGCUGGGACCCCAAAAGAUUUAUUGGGACUCACUUUAUUGCAGUGGUCUGGAUUUGAACCUGCGUAUUGCCAAAGGUAUGCCUGUGUAUGGCAGAGGCCAUUCUUGCCCUGCUAUAGCCAGAACUAAGAGGGAGUGGUUGAAAAGUUUACUCCAGGUAGGAAUUGUGCGGGAGGGAUGGGGCCUGGCAUUAUCCAAGGCUGGUGCCCACAUAUACACCCCUACUAGGCUGAGCUUCCCCGUCACCCGCCCCUGCCCGCCCCGGUACAGAGCAGCAGCAAGUCCUCUUUUUUCUCCCUGUAUUCCCCUAAAGGACAGCGCACUACUCUUAUGUGCUGACCAGAGGAGGGCAGAUGGUCAGGUAUCUGCAAAGGGCUGUGGACUGAUUUUUGAAGGGUCAUCCCUUUUUUAUUAACCUGUGAUCGCAAAACUUCUGUGUUAUGUCUUCCCAAGUGUACUUGGGGGGUACCUGAGCCUCUUUCUGAGAUGACCGAGAUGACAGCUCCGACGAGGUGUCUUUGUAGUGUCAACAAAAAGAAGACUCAGACAGAAAUCUUUCCAGAGACCACUUGCGGGAGCGGCUCCUUGUUCAGUGGCCACCUGAGAUAAAGCUGUGGGAGGAGAAGGAACCAAAGCUAAUUCUUGAGUCUUCAAGCUAUGGAUUAUCUCAACCCCUGGAUUCCACCCCCCCACUUGCAUCUGCCUCCUGGGUCCUGGGUCAUUUUCACCGCUCAUUAUCACCAGCACCAGAGGGAAGGCAGAGGAAAUGAAGGGAGAUGAAAUUCAAAUGAAUCGAUCCUGCCACUUGUUAGCAGCUUAGCUUGCCAGUGUCCAAGGGGGAGGAGGCUGUAGCUCUUCUGUGGGUUUCAAUUCUCCAUGCUAUUCUGGUCCCUCGUGCUGCCAGGCAAUAUCGAGUGGGCUGUAUGGAAAUGAUCUGUGGGAUGAAAGAAGAGAAGGGAGGGGGAAGCUGCCUCCAACAGGAGCUUCUUCGAAUAAAAGGGAAAGGAAUUAUAUGUUCAGUGGCAGCAUGCCACACAGAGUAGCCCAAAUUUUAUUAAACAAACUCAUGUUUGGAAGCAUCUUAUCCCCUCAGAACUGGAAGGAAAGGGAUGCUGAGACC
rnacentral:lncRNA from 1 species